UGUAAUUCCCAGUACUGGCUACGCAGGCAGGCCAAGGCUUCCUCAGAGAUAAUCCUUUCCAAUUUCCAAAUUUCCUGAGCAUUGACCAUCUACCAGACACUGCCAGACAUAUCAGAGAUUAAAAAGUCCAACAAGCCCCUGCGCCCUCUCCUCAAUGAGCUUGUGACUGAGUGGGGUGACAACAGCCACAACACCCACUACAACACAGUGGGGUGUGUUCAUGGAGAACGUCCUGGGAACACAGAGGAGGGCUGUCCAGACCAGGAACGCUUCCAGGAGAAGGGUCAGAAUGUGGUCACCUGUGGGCUCCUUAGCCCCUUCCCAUCAGCCCAGCACCUCUCUGAACCAUGACACCCAGCUGCACAUGGCCUAUGGACCCUUACACUCUACCACAUGGAUGAGGAACCCUGGCAUGGAAGGAGCACCCUUCUAUAGGAAUCCCAUGCCUCCUGGCAUUUGGGUAAUGAUAAGGAGGAAGGAUCUAGCAGAACAAAGGGACUGAGAACAAGCCUGUGCAGCAUGGCAGAGCCCAGACGUCACCCAGUGACUCAGCAAAUCCAGGACGAAGAACGCUAGAGGAUCCAUUGAUAACCGCCCCCCAAGACAGUGUGUGACUCCGGAGGAGGAGGGUGGGAGAGGGAAGCUGAACCUUGGAUCCUUCUGAUAAAUAAAUCGUUUCUCAGUGA